AAUGGAGGAAACUCUGAUGCAGCGAUGCCGCGUGAGUGAAGAAGGCCUUUGGGUUGUAAAGCUCUUUCGUCGGGGAAGAAAAUGACUGUACCCGAAUAAGAAGGUCCGGCUAACUUCGUGCCAGCAGCCGCGGUAAUACGAAGGGACCUAGCGUAGUUCGGAAUUACUGGGCUUAAAGAGUUCGUAGGUGGUUAAAAAAGUUGGUGGUGAAAUCCCAGAGCUUAACUCUGGAACUGCCAUCAAAACUUUUUAGCUAGAGUAUGAUAGAGGAAAGCAGAACUUCUAGUGUAGAGGUGAAAUUCGUAGAUAUUAGAAAGAAUACCAAUUGCGAAGGCAGCUUUCUGGAUCAUUACUGACACUGAGGAACGAAAGCAUGGGUAGCGAAGAGGAUU
rnacentral:rRNA from 1 species